rnacentral:rRNA from 1 species
GAUGAACGCUGGCGGCGUGCCUAAUACAUGCAAGUCGAGCGAACAGACGAGGAGCUUGCUCCUCUAACGUUAGCGGCGGACGGGUGAGUAACACGUGGAUAACCUACCUAUAAGACUGGGAUAACUUCGGGAAACCGGAGCUAAUACCGGAUAAUAUAUUGAACCGCAUGGUUCAAUAGUGAAAGACGGUUUUGCUGUCACUUAUAGAUGGAUCCGCGCCGCAUUAGCUAGUUGGUAAGGUAACAGCUUACCAAGGCAACGAUGCGUAGCCGACCUGAGAGGGUGAUCGGCCACACUGGAACUGAGACACGGUCCAGACUCCUACGGGAGGCAGCAGUAGGGAAUCUUCCGCAAUGGGCGAAAGCCUGACGGAGCAACGCCGCGUGAGUGAUGAAGGUCUUCGGAUCGUAAAACUCUGUUAUUAGGGAAGAACAAAUGUGUAAGUAACUAUGCACGUCUUGACGGUACCUAAUCAGAAAGCCACGGCUAACUACGU